GUAACCAAAAAAAAAAAAGACAGAGCACAUCUCAAAAAGAAAAAUUCUCUUUUCUUCUCCUUUUCAUCAUCUUCUUCCAUUUUUGGACCUUCAAGAACAACAACAAUCGAUAUCAGCAAACAAACAAAAAAAAAACAUAACAUCAUCUACAACAGCUUGAGAAGCAAAUCAAACUAACCAAACGACCCGACCGGCGACAACAGCGUCGGCGCCGCCUCCAAAGGCCAGCAUGGGCUGCUCCUCUAGCCGCCGCUCAGAUCCGGCCUCCUCCGUCAUCCAGUGCCUUCUCCGGCGACCAACCAAACGACCCCAUCGGCGACAACAGCGCCGGCUCCACCUCCAAAGGCCAACACGGGCUGCUCCUCCAGCCGCCGCUCAGAUCCGACCUCCUCCGUCAUCCAGCGCCUUCUCCGGCGACCAACCAAACGACCCCGUCGCUGCGACCAGCGUCCCAGCCACUGUUCUACCCCCAUUCUCCUCUCAAUACCGCGCCAGCAGCCAGCCCGUUCGAGCUAGCUCCAUCUCUUUUCGAGAAAUGCUGAAACGAUGACAGUUACUUCAAUUCCGGUGAGAUUCAUACAAGGUUAGUUGGAAAUCGGUGAUUUGGGAUUUCGAAUUUGAGAUCUUGGGUUGUUUUUUUUUUUAUUUCUAUUCGGGUUUGCGGUGCAUUCAUUGUGAGGCUUUUCGUUGUUUUCCAAAUCUGUCCGGUUGAAUUCGAUAUCGAGUUUGGAGUUGUUGGUUAUCGAGGUUCAAGUCGAGAGUUUUGGAUCCAACUUUGUCUUUUGAUCACAUAUUUUGGCACAAUAAAAUCUUCAAUCGAGGUCCAACUCUACACUUUCUCUCAUCUAUUUUAUUAUUUGCAAUAUUUCGUAUUUCGAAUUGGAUAUUCGUGUGUUGUUUGAUCUUUGUUGGUGAUGAAUAACUGUUGGUAUUGAUUGGUUGUUGAUUUUGUUAGUUACG
rnacentral:lncRNA from 1 species